CAGUAGCCGCGGUAAUACAGAGGGUGCAAGCGUUAAUCGGAAUUACUGGGCGUAAAGCGCGCGUAGGUGGUUUGUUAAGUUGAAUGUGAAAUCCCCGGGCUCAACCUGGGAACUGCAUCCAAAACUGGCAAGCUAGAGUAGGGCAGAGGGUGGUGGAAUUUCCUGUGUAGCGGUGAAAUGCGUAGAUAUAGGAAGGAACACCAGUGGCGAAGGCGACCACCUGGGCUCAUACUGACACUGAGGUGCGAAAGCGUGGGGAGCAAACAGGAUUAGAUACCCGCGUAGUCCCUGUCUCUUUACA
rnacentral:rRNA from 1 species